rnacentral:rRNA from 1 species
AGCGCAACCCUGCCAUCUGUUGCCAGCAAGUGAAGUUGGGGACUCAGGUGGAACUGCCGGUGACAAACCGGAGGAAGGUGGGGACGACGUCAAGUCAUCAUGGCCCUUAUGUCCUGGGCGUACACACGUGCUACAAUGGCCGGUACAGAGCGCAGCGAAGCCGCGAGGCAAAGCGAAUCGCAAAAAGCCGGUCUCAGUACGGAUUGGAGUCUGAAACCCGACUCCAUGAAGUUGGAAUCGCUAGUAAUCGCGCAUCAGCAUGGCGCGGUGAAUACGUUCCCGGGCCUU